CAGCCGCCGCGGUAAUACGUAGGUGGCAAGCGUUGUCCGGAUUUAUUGGGCGUAAAGCGAGCGCAGGCGGUUCCUUAAGUCUGAUGUGAAAGCCCACGGCUCAACCGUGGAAGGUCAUUGGAAACUGGGGAACUUGAGUGCAGAAGAGGAGAGUGGAAUUCCAUGUGUAGCGGUGAAAUGCGUAGAUAUAUGGAGGAACACCAGUGGCGAAGGCGACUCUCUGGUCUGUAACUGACGCUGAGGCUCGAAAGCGUGUGGAGCAAACAGGAUUAGAUACCCCCGUAGUCCCUGUCUCUUAUAC
rnacentral:rRNA from 1 species